rnacentral:rRNA from 1 species
UACGAAGGGGGCUAGCGUUGUUCGGAAUUACUGGGCGUAAAGGGUGUGUAGGCGGUUGUUUUAAGUUUGGUGUGAAAUCUCCCGGCUCAACUGGGAGGGUGCGCCGAAUACUGAAUGACUAGAGUGCGGGAGAGGUGAGUGGAAUUCCUGUGUAGCGGUGAAAUGCGUAGAUAUAGGAAGGAACACCAGUGGCGAAGGCGACCACCUGGACUGAUACUGACACUGAGGUGCGAAAGCGUGGGGAGCAAACAGG